CCUACGGGAGGCAGCAGUGGGGAAUAUUGGACAAUGGGCGAAAGCCUGAUCCAGCAAUGCCGCGUGAGUGAUGAAGGCCUUAGGGUCGUAAAGCUCUUUUACCAGGGAUGAUAAUGACAGUACCUGGAGAAUAAGCUCCGGCUAACUCCGUGCCAGCAGCCGCGGUAAUACGGAGGGAGCUAGCGUUGUUCGGAAUUACUGGGCGUAAAGCGUGCGUAGGCGGUUAUUCAAGUCAGAGGUGAAAGCCCGGGGCUCAACCCCGGAACGGCCUUUGAAACUAGAUAACUAGAAUCUUGGAGAGGUCAGUGGAAUUCCGAGUGUAGAGGUGAAAUUCGUAGAUAUUCGGAAGAACACCAGUGGCGAAGGCGACUGACUGGACAAGUAUUGACGCUGAGGUACGAAAGCGUGGGGAGCAAACAGGAUUAGAUACCCUGGUAGUCCACGCCGUAAACGAUGAUAACUAGCUGUCCGGACACUUGGUGUUUGGGUGGCGCAGCUAACGCAUUAAGUUAUCCGCCUGGGGAGUACGGUCGCAAGNUUAAAACUCAAAAUNAUAGAGCGNGAGAGNGCGAGACGACACGAGGAGAG
rnacentral:rRNA from 1 species